rnacentral:rRNA from 1 species
UACGAAGGGGGCUAGCGUUGCUCGGAAUCACUGGGCGUAAAGCGCACGUAGGCGGACUCUUAAGUCAGGGGUGAAAUCCUGGAGCUCAACUCCAGAACUGCCUUUGAUACUGAAGAUCUUGAGUCCGGGAGAGGUGAGUGGAACUGCGAGUGUAGAGGUGAAAUUCGUAGAUAUUCGCAAGAACACCAGUGGCGAAGGCGGCUCACUGGCCCGGUACUGACGCUGAGGCACGAAAGCGUGGGGAGCAAACAGG